rnacentral:rRNA from 1 species
UACCAGCUCCCCGAGUGGUGGSGGUAAUUAUUGGGCCUAAAGCGUCCGUAGCUGGCUUAGCAAGUCUUUUGUUAAAUCCAACGAUCCAAUCGUUGGACUGCAGGAGAUACUGCUGGGCUAGGGGGCGGAAGAAGCCGACGGUACUCCUGAGGUAGGGGUGAAAUCCUAUAAUCCCAGGAGGACCACCAGUGGCGAAGGCGGUCGGCUAGAACGCGCUCGACGGUGAGGGACGAAAGCUGGGGGAGCGAUCCGGAUUAGAUACCCGGGUAGUCCCAGCUGUAAACUAUGCAGGCUAGGUGUUGGCGUGACCACGAGUCACGCCAGUGCCGCAGGGAAGCUGUUAAGCCUGCCGCCUGGGGAGUACGGUCGCAAGACUGAAACUUAA